rnacentral:lncRNA from 1 species
UCCAUGGUUUAAGACACUGACUGGCACAAAGUAAGACUCAUAAAUUAUUUUUCAGACAUUGAUUCAUUGCUUUUAUCAAUUUGUUUAUUUUAACAGCUGGUACCAUCCAUAGUAAACUCUAAAAUGAAAGACAAGAUGUGCUUGUGGCAUUUAGGACAGUGGCUGACAUAUAAUAAGCACUAAAAUACCUGUUAUCUUGCUGCUACCACAGAAGAGAGAAAGGCUCAAAUGGAUCACUUCUGCUCAAGCAAGAGAGAAAAGAUCAUGAAACUGAGACCCAAGCAGAUGAAGUUACUUAUACAAGGUGACACAACAAGGAAGGACCAAAACCAGCACUCAAACCCAGAAUCUUCAGAUGAAAGGGUGGAAAUAAAAGGUGCCAUGAGAGUCAUCAGGAGGAAUGAAAAAGGUUUGGGAAUAGCUGUUGUCACAUGGAAUAA